UAAUUAGAGGCUGCGGGCUGGGCUGGGAGGAUAAAUAACGAGCGGUGAUGUGCUUGGAGCAAGUGGGAGAGUGCUGCUGCUGCUGCUCAUCUCGCUGCAACAGCAUCACGGAAGGUCCCCGGCGUUGGUGGCCCUGCGAAGGACUUCCCGAGGAAGCUGCUCCCCCCUCCUCCUCCCCAUAAGCUGACCCCGAGCCCCUCGCAGCCUCCCACGCCGCUCCCCUGGGACUGCACCAAGCUCAGGGCCGGGUGACCUGCUUGGAAGAAACCUGCCCUGAACUCCUCCUGAACCUGGAGGUGGGUGAAGGAAUAAUUCACACGGCAAGCAGCUUCUCUUAUAAAAUGUGCAUGAAGGCUUUAUGCAAGCAGGGCAGGAAGCAGACCCCUUUUUUUAAAUCUUGCACGGAGUUAUCUCCGCAGCGGAGCAGCUGAAGCUUUCCUCCUGCCCUAAAGCCAGUGCUUGUUUACAUCUACUUACAAUCAAAUUACAUUAAACAUCCAGAGUGAUGCAGCAGAUAGCACCAUUUCGCCUUGCCAUCGUGCUUCCAGCUGGCAGCGCAGCUCCACAUCCACCACAAAUGGAAAAUCUUCAUAAAUUCAAAUGCAGAGCUGCUGGCUGCAGAGCCACGGAGUCGGCUUUGGGGUGGGAGAAAAACGGGGGGUUUGGCCCCAAAGCUGUAAGGAAAGGACCACGUGCAUCUGAGAAGGGCUUGGAGCGAUAACCAGGAGGAGUGUAGCGUGCUGGUAUCUUGAAAUCUGGAGGUGCCGUGGUUAUCACAGAGCCUGCGGUGAGAAGCUGGGGCUUCUGCAGGCGCUGCCACCCCCUCCUUGGAGCCCUCCAGCACCCAGGUGAGGUGGACACGCUGCUUCUGCACAAGCCUCAGGGAUUAAAAGAUCUGGGUGGAGGUGUUCAAGUCCUUCUGGCUGGUGGAAGGCGGUCCCCGGUGUUUGCAGGGAGCGAGAUGCAGCGCGGGGAGUUCUCCUUUCAUCUUCCAGAGGCAGCGCGGUAGCAUCUGCAGCCCUUCAAGCAGCCGCGUCUGGUUAGGAUCAUCCCCUGCUUCCGCCGAACCAGGGUUUAGAGCAGGAGACCUCCCUUCAAAGAGGUGGCUUUGUUGAGCAGUAAAAUUGAUGAAUUACUGGAAGGGGUAAGGAAAACAAAGCCUUCUGUUGAUCCCGCGGGGUAAGGCCUGCUGUGGCAGAGAUGCUCGGCGAAUAAUGGAAUAAAAAGGUUUUACCUCCCGUCACCCCCUCUGUGCCGUCCUUCUCCCGGGCAGCAGCCAAAAUGCUUUGGGCCAUCCUGAGGUGCUCCUGCCCAGAUUCAAGAGGUAAAGCAGGGGUGUAAAUGGAAAAACACCCCACAGAUGGCUGCUGGCCGCCCUCGAGCAGGACUCUCACCUCGUGGGAGGCUCCGCAGGGGUGCUGAGCAUCACCCGCAUGGGUGCAGGUGAGACCUGGCUGCAAGGGGGGCAUCGGCUGCUCUGCUCCAGGCAAAGGACGAGAGCAACAGCCUGAGCCUGCCUGCCUCCAUCCCAUCUCCCUGGGUCACAAAAGGCAGAAGGAAACAAACAGGGUGGGUUUAUGUGAUCCAGAGAGGCACAGGGCGAUGUCAGGAGGACCUUUUGUCUUGGGCAUCUCAGCUCCUGUGCCACAGGGGAGAAAAAAACAAAGCAUCAGUGGAAAGGGGUGAUGCCCCCUUCUCUUACACAGCCACCUUGGGGUCAGACCUGUGGAAGCACUGACUUUCCCCUUAACUCUCGGGGGUCCCAGAGGAUCUCUGCCUGCCCUUUGGGUGUGGUGAAUCCCCCCCGGCAAGGUACACGGGGGGUACACGGGAUGCUUCCAGCAGCACCAUGUGUCACCGUAAUAACACCGCGAGGUUUUUCUCCCAUCUCCUCCUUCCUUAGGCCUGGCUGUGCAGGACCUCAGAGUGUAAUUAACCCAGAAAGGCUCCGUGCAGUGUUGAGCAGGUGCUGGCUGAAUUUAGGAAACCAUCGGAUGGGAAAUUCAGCAGCUGGAGGGGCCGGGGCCGUCCCAGAGCUGUUUCCUCGCCGUCUCGCCUGCUGCUGCUCAGCCUACGUGGAGAGAGGCAAAAAACCAACAGCUGCACGUGAGGUCAUAAAACAGCCCCAAAAGGAUGAAAAAAAAAUAAAACAAAACCCUACGCUAAUACCCCGCUGGGAGCUCAGGUUCAGCAGGACUCAUAAAAUCACUACUUGAGCCUUCGGCAGAGUGUUAAUUAUUUUCAUGCCUAUUAGAGCCGGGUGUGUAAUUGCUCCAGCGCCUGUUAGCAGGGUGAGUGAGUUCCUCUCCCGCAUGGCACCUCCUUUUUUUUUUUUUUUUUUUUCCUUGUUUUUCAUCUCGGCACAGCCACUGGGAGACCUGAUCCAAGUUUUCAGCUUAAUGUGGUGUCAGAAAUCUUUGCUAAUCAGAACGGCCGUUCCCCCUGGACCACUCCGGGGUGGGAGGGAGCCCAUUUUGCAGCGUUUAGAUGCCAGAAGAGCUUGCACUGCUGCCCUGGGAGAAAUCCAGCGUUCAUGAGCCUAUUCAUUUAUUUCUUCAGCAGAAAAUCAUCCCAAAUUUCACAUCGCUUGGUAAGAUGAAGCAGCACUUUGAGGAAAGCAGCUCUUAGAGGUGGAUUUCUCUCUUGGUACUGGAGCAUCUCUUCCCAGGAAUUGCUCUCACUGAUUCCCCACCUUCCCUUUGGGCCCACGUAUCUCCUCUGCUUGCCAUUUCUUGACUUUUUUGCCCUCUUUUUAGCUUCUCAUCCUUGCUUCCAGCUGCUUGUGUCUGGUCAAGAUCUCCCCUGCUCACAGAGGAUGGGGACAAAGGGCCCCAGGCACAUGCCCCCAUCAGCAGGAGGAGGCUGCUUUUGUUUUUCCACGGCGGCCCCCAGAGAUGCUCUUACCACUCCGACUGACUCCUUGACAGGUUUCAGCUAAUAAUCACACUCCGAUGUGCCUGCAAAUAUAAUCAGUGGUAAGUGCGCAGAUAUAAUCGUGCUGGGGAAGGGAAGAGGUGCCAUUUAGCAGCUCCAGAAAAGCCUGCGAAGAAGCUGCUUUCUUCAGACUAUCGGUCCUUGGGGAGCGAUAGCACAUGCAAUAUUCAGUGGGACAUGGAAAUCAACACAGAAAGAGCCAUAAAUAUCUCCAGGAAAAAUCACCGAUGGAGAGCACGAAGCUGAAAACGAUCGGAGGUCUGGAGAGAGCCUCCUCGGGGGGCUGCGGCCAGAGACCUGCGUUUAAUUCCCUCCAGCCCUGGCUUAAGGUGGGGAAAAAUCUUCAUGCUCACCCACCCCAUGAGGGCAUUUGGGAGGGCUCCUGAGCCCCAAAAUACUUCCCAGGGGUGCAGAGGGGCCCGGUGAGCUGUGCUCAAGGCCGUGCUGCUGCGGAGCGUCCUGGCGCGUACCUAAUCUCAUUAUGGGGCUUUCCAUACCACCACAACGCUGACAUAAUUAUCACAGGAUUUUCCGUUAGCCAGUUCUUAAUUGAAAACUUGCUUGGGGGAAGCAGUGUCAGGUUGCUGAGGUUAAAGUUAUCCCUUUUGCUCCCAUGAACCCCCCGAGUUUCUGGUUGUUCCCAAUGGGUUUCUUGGCCCAUCCGGGGCCCCGCUGGGGCCUGCCCCCUGCCCGGUGUUCAGGUGGCCAUAAAACAUCUCCAUUCCCAGGAUCCGCGCGGUGUAAUCCUCUCCAGAGGGAUUACUGCCAGCAUUUGUCACGCUUGUCAGUGCCUUUAUGCUGAAGGCCGUUUGGCUGCCGCCACCUCAGGACUCCGAGUGUGCCAGGUUCGAGCUGUCCGUGCGUGUGUGCACGCGUGGAUCACACGAGGCUGGGUGGUUUUGGGGUAAAACUUGGCGAAACGCAGUAACUGGUGCUAUUCCACCUCCCGGACGUCUGUGCACGCAUCCAGCCCCUCAUUGCUGCUGCAUUUUCCCAGAAAGGGGAAAACUCGCCUGGCACCAGAAACCUCAGCCGAGGGCUUUGAAGCUCGCUGAGGUCCAGCGAUGAGAGCGAGGCCUCACAAUGGGAACGGCAGGGCUGCCUUAAUUGCAAACAGUGCUCCUGGCCGCGCUGGGAGGACAAACCAAACCCCGCCGGCACGCACUGCCUGGCAGCACCGCCGCUGCACCCAGGGCGAGCAGAGAUGCUGCUCUGUGUGGGGCGGCAGGGUGAGGCCCAGGGCAUCUCCAGGAGCUCAGGAGGGACAGGGAGCUGGGAAAGUGCCACAAUUCUGGAAAUUGGGGUUGUUUCUGCGCUUUAUUAUGGGCUGCGGUGAGGCCACGCUUGCGUUGGGCUGGGAGAGCUCUGUGCAGGCACUGCAGGAAUGUUGUGAGCUGCUUGCUCCUGCAUGCAUGGCUGGGUGUGUGUGCACUGUGUGUGUGUGUGAGCAUUGUGUGUGCACUGUGUGUGUUUUCUGUGUGUGCACAGUGCACGCUGUGCCGUUGCCGCACGCAGUAAUGAUUGCCAUGUGGAGCAGCGAGCCUUGGCUGGGCUCGCAGGGAGCAGGCAGAGCUUCCUUCUCACAAUAGGUUUAAGCUGCAAAGCGUUCAUUGUUCCUGUGUGUGGGCACCUUCUCCCUGGGACGCUGCAGAGCUGCUGGCUGGGGAGAUUUGUGCAGUGUGCGUGUAGCUGAUGCCAUUCCACAAAACUUUCUUGACUCCUCCUUUUUUUUGCCCCAUCUUCCAGUGCUCAGCAUGGGGCAGGGAGCAGCAGGACGUCUUCGCUUCUUGUGUAUCUGUUACAUGUCCGUACCUAACCCGUGGCCUUGCUAAAUUCUGAAUUUCCACUUUUUCCAUCAUUUCUCCAGCGUGCAAGAUAAAUGGGCAUCUCCUGGCACACCUGGGCUGCCGAGAGCCAGGAGCCUCUUCCAGCUCCUCUCUGCAAACCCCCUCCUGUCCCCAGAGCCCCCUUGCUCUGGCAGUUUUACCUGGCCACUUCCAGUGCUCAGCAUCCAUCCAGCAGAGCUGCCCCAGCUUUCCUGCAGGGCAGGCAGAGGCAGCAAAGACACCAAAGCCCCGAAUGAUUCCUGGUCCUGCCUCGGCCCCUCUCCCCAGCUUGCAUCAUGGAAACAAAAGCUCGGCCUCCGGCCGGGGCCCCUGGCACGGCUCCACGCAGCCGCUCGCUGAGCCACAGCUCCGCUUCCUCCUUGCCCUAGGGUGGCUUUUCCCUUCCCUCCCCUGAUGCUGCCGCUCGUCCCCCUCUCCUGCGACAGCUCUCGCUGCUGGGAGCACCGGGGAAAAGGGAACUGCCGCCUUCUCCUCCCUCCUGCCUUGUCAUCCACGAGCAAGAACCGAUUAAUCCAGCAGAAGCUCAGCCCUUCCCCGCUUCCCUUUUAAUUUCAGACCCCUGGCACGAGGGGACACGAUGAAAUGCAAGAUUAAAUGCCUAAUACCCAGGAUUUGGGAUUACCGAGGCCAGUCUGGGUGGUUUGAGGUAGAAGGACGUCUCGCUUUAAUGGGAGGUUUUCCUCCCCGUGUCUUCUCUCCCUGCUCCAUGCUUGGAAGCUGCUGCAGUUGGCAAAUGCGAUGCUGGAAGGAUGGGGUGAGCACCAAACCCCUGCGUGGAUCCAGCCCCCAAAUUCCUGCCCCAACCACGGUGCCCCAGGGCGCACACAGACAAGGUUUCUGGGUUUGUAGGUAACAGCUUCGAAAGCCCCUAUCCAAAACCAAGCGUAUAACAUCUUGAAAUCGCCGCUGCUUCACCCUCUGUCCUGGAGGAUUUCAGGCUUUGAUAGCUGCUAAGUUGCUGCUGAUUUAUUCAUGGCCACUUCCCACCCAUUAGCUUUAAUAGCUCGGGUUGCUCUGCUCCUGUCCCUGCCCGGCUUCUGCUGCUGAGGUCAAGCUCAGUGAGAUGCCGGAGCCCAAAUAACGUCCUGGAAGCAGCUGGAGUGCCGGAUUUCCAUCCUCACCGCCCGACCUUUGCAGCAGGGAAGGAUGCCAGCAAACGUCCCCUCUCCUCUUCCUCUCGGUCUUCUCACUCAGCACAGGGACGGAGCUGUGGGGUGCAGAUAUCCCAAAUCACAACAGCUUCGUGUCUGAGCCUCGGGGUCAGCUCAGCUCCUUUUCCAUGUGAAGUUACCCAAGUCCUGCUCCUUCCUGGGGCCUCAGCUCCCUGCCUGUGCCCUGGGCUGUUAUUUGAGGCAGGGGGGUGGGUAGAUGUAGUGAUGCUUGGAAGAUGCCGAGACGUGGCUGCUGGGGCGAGAUAAAGGUAUUGUUAGUGCUGGGAUGCAGCUUGGGGCCUCCUGCUCCAACCUACCCACGAUAACUAGCCAGAACAUACAGGAGAAGGCUGUGGCCAUUGCACUGGAUGAUUUUGGGGUCUCCUGGGCACGUCCCAGCCAGGACGGGUCUGCGGGAUGGCCGGGGCUCAGGGCAGCAUCCUUCACUAGCGUGCUCUGCCCAGCCCGAGUGCUGCCACAUCCGGGGCUCCUGCAGCAGCAUCGCCCAGGGCAUCGCCACGUCCUCCACCUCCAGCAGCUGCCCACGAAGCAGGGAUCGAGGCCGGCCCCCGCGGUGCCUGAGGAAGGAGGAAGAGGUGGAUGGAAAUGAGAUUUGUCUUCCCACAAGGGCCGUGUGGAGCUGGAACUGUUACGGCUCAUUUCGAAAUGAAAAGGCAAUCUCCGAAUAUUGCGUUUCUGUGAAAUAUUCCAUCCCAGCUUUAGCUGAAGCACUUCACUUCGGCUUUUAUUUUUGUUACUUCAACAUUAGCAAGCACUAAUGCUGGGCAAUUUAGAGCAGAACCUAAAUGCCAAACCAAAAACACUGAUGAGUUCGUGCUGAGAAGUUUGACGGCACUUCUGAGAAACCUCCAGCCGCUCUGCCGAGCCCUUUGGGAUGGGAAGGCACUUGGUGCAUUUUGGGAUAAUUCUUUCUAGAUAAUUUCUCCUCCAUCACGAGCUGUCUCUUGAUCCCUGGUGUGAGCAAGCAUCCGAAGCGACAGGCGGAUGCGUGCCUCCAGAGCAAAGCCCCCUCUCCUGAGCAUCGCUGGCUGCUCCAAACCAGGGUGCUGACCCCCCCGGGCAGCACACGGGGACGUUCACACCAGGAGCGAGCGCUGGCACUCGCCUUUUCCUGCUUCCUUCUGCAGGGGGAUGAUGUGCAGUGCGAGUCCUGCCUUCCGCAGGCACCGGGUGCAAUUAGGAACAGCCCCGGUGCAGAUUUCCUUCCCCAGCUCGUGCUGACGCUGCAGUGCCAGAGCUGGGAGCGAAAUGUUGAGGUGCUGCUGAGCCCCCUGGUCCCCCCACGCUGGGACUCCAGGAA